GAUGAACGCUGGCGGCGUGCCUAAUACAUGCAAGUCGAGCGAACAGACGAUGAGCUUGCUCCUCUGACGUUAGCGGCGGACGGGUGAGUAACACGUGGAUAACCUACCUAUAAUACUGGGAUAACUUCGGGAAACCGGAGCUAAUACCGGAUAAUAUAUUGAACCGCAUGGUUCAAUAGUGAAAGACGGUUUUGCUGUCUCUUAUAGAUGGAUCCGCGCCGCAUUAGUUAGUUGGUAAGGUAACGGCUUACCAAGGCAACGAUGCGUAGCCGACCUGAGAGGGUGAUCGGCCACACUGGAACUGAGACACGGUCCAGACUCCUACGGGAGGCAGCAGUAGGGAAUCUUGGGCAAUGGGCGAAAGCCUGACGGAGCAACGCCGCGUGAGUGAUGAAGGUCUUCGGAUCGUAAAACUCUGUUAUUAGGGAAGAACAAAUGUGUAAGUAACUAUGCACGUAUUGACGGUACCUAAUCAGAAAGCCACGGCUAACUACGUG
rnacentral:rRNA from 1 species